rnacentral:rRNA from 1 species
AAGACCUUCGGGUCUAGUGGCGCACGGGUGCGUAACGCGUAGGCAAUCUACCCGAUACAGGGGAAUAACACGGGGAAACUCGUGCUAAUACCGCGUAAUAAAUGAGAAGGCAUCUUCUUAUUUUAAAAGCUUCGGCGGUAUCGGAAGAGCCUGCGUCCUAUUAGCUAGUUGGUAAGGUAACAGCUUACCAAGGCGACGAUAGGUAGGGGAACUGAGAGGUUGAUCCCCCACACUGGUACUGAGAUACGGACCAGACUCCUACGGGAGGCAGCAGUGAGGAAUAUUGGUCAAUGGACGGAAGUCUGAACCAGCCAUGUCGCGUGUCGGAAGACGGCCCUCUGGGUUGUAAACGGCUUUUCUUUGGGAAGAACACGCUCUUGCGAGAGCAACUGACGGUACCAAAGGAAUAAGCACCGGCUAACUACGUGCCAGCAGCCGCGGUAAUACGUAGGGUGCAAGCGUUGUCCGGAUUUAUUGGGUUUAAAGGGUGCGUAGGCGGCUAUUUAAGUCGUGGGUGAAAGCCCGUCGCUUAACGACGGAAUUGCCUGCGAUACUGGAUAGCUUGAGUAUCGUUAAGGUUGGCGGAAUGGGAGGUGUAGCGGUGAAAUGCAUAGAUACCUUCCAGAACACCGAUUGCGUAGGCAGCUGACUAGGCGAUAACUGACGCUGAGGCACGAAAGCGUGGGGAGCGAACAGGAUUAGAUACCCUGGUAGUCCACGCCGUAAACGAUGAUGACUCG